rnacentral:rRNA from 1 species
GUGGGGAAUCUUGCGCAAUGGGCGAAAGCCUGACGCAGCCAUGCCGCGUGAAUGAUGAAGGUCUUAGGAUUGUAAAAUUCUUUCACCGGGGACGAUAAUGACGGUACCCGGAGAAGAAGCCCCGGCUAACUUCGUGCCAGCAGCCGCGGUAAUACGAAGGGGGCUAGCGUUGCUCGGAAUUACUGGGCGUAAAGGGCGCGUAGGCGGACAGUUUAGUCAGAGGUGAAAGCCCAGGGCUCAACCUUGGAAUUGCCUUUGAUACUGGCUGUCUUGAGUACGGGAGAGGUGAGUGGAACUCCGAGUGUAGAGGUGAAAUUCGUAGAUAUUCGGAAGAACACCAGUGGCGAAGGCGACUCACUGGCCCGUUACUGACGCUGAGGCGCGAAAGCGUGGGGAGCAAACAGGAUUAGAAACCCCGUAGUCC